UUUGACCUCAAAUCAGGUAGGAAUACCCGCUGAACUUAAGCAUAUCAA
rnacentral:rRNA from 1 species